ACUUUAAUUGAAGAGUUUGAUCAUGGCUCAGAUUGAACGCUGGCGGCAGGCCUAACACAUGCAAGUCGAGCGGUAACAGAAAGAAAGCUUGCUUUCUUUGCUGACGAGCGGCGGACGGGUGAGUAAUGCCUGGGAAUAUACC
rnacentral:rRNA from 3 species